GAGCAAGCGGACCUCAUAAAGUGCGUCGUAGUCCGGAUUGGAGUCUGCAACUCGACUCCAUGAAGUCGGAAUCGCUAGUAAUCGUGGAUCAGAAUGCCACGGUGAAUACGUUCCCGGGCCUUGUACACACCGCCCGUCACACCAUGGGAGUGGGUUGCAAAAGAAGUAGGUAGCUUAACCUUCGGGAGGGCGCUUACCACUUUGUGAUUCAUGACUGGGGUGAAGUCGUAACAAGGUAACCGUAGGGGAACCUGCGGUUGGAUCACCUCCUU
rnacentral:rRNA from 1 species